GAUGAAGAACGCAGCGAAAUGCGAUAAGUAAUGUGAAUUGCAGAAUUCAGUGAAUCAUCGAAUCUUUGAACGCACCUUGCGCCCUUUGGCUAUUCUGAAGGGCAUGCCUGUUUGAGUAUCAUGAACACCUCAACUCUCAUGGUUUGCCAUGAUGAGCUUGGACUUUGGGGGUCUUGCUGGCCUACGGUCGGCUCCUCUCAAAUGAAUCAGCUUGCCAGUGUUUGGUGGCAUCACGGGUGUGAUAACUAUCUACGCUUGUGGUUUCCCACCAGGUAACAUUCAGUGAUGGAGGUUCGCUGGGGCUCAUAAAUGUCCCUCCACAGUGAGGACAGCUUUUGAACGUUUGAUCUCAAAUCAGGUAGGACUACCCGCUGAACUUAAGCAUAUCAAUAAGCGGAGGA
rnacentral:misc_RNA from 1 species